GGUGAUAUAGCUCAGUUGGUAGAGCAAUGGACUGAAAAUCCAUGUGUCGGGGGUUCAAAUCCCUCUAUCACCA
rnacentral:tRNA from 1 species